CCAAAUAAUUUCCAACUGGUAGUGAGAGCUUGUAUAUUUCUUCUUUAUUUGUGAAAGUUAAAAGUUAGGGUUUAAUCCUAACCAGUGGUGUAUUUGCACCUUUAAUUUCAUUAUUUCACAUUCGUUAUCACAAGAUCAUGUGCAAUUUCAAAGUGAUUAUGUCCAGGUAAAGCAUUGAAAUACUGCUUAAAGUUACAACUUUCAUAGGUUUUUUUUACGGUUAAAAACAAAAUUGAGCUUAAAUUGUCAAAUAAAGUAGUAUAAAUUAGGGUUUAACCGUAGCCAUAGAUAUGUUUGUACCUUCAAUUUCAAUAUUUAAUAACUAUUAUCACAUGUAUAAUGGAAUUGAGGCCGAAUGAUUGAAAAAGGGGAACAAAUUGUUAGUAAUUUAAGAUGAUACAUACCUAUCGGUAAGGGCGAAGAGAGCAUUGGAGCCUUUAAAACUAAAAUCAACAGGUUUAUCGUUGUCAUCGUAAAAGAAAAGGCGUACCAAUCGAUAGAUUACCAGACUGAAGAUGAUUGUCGACAUCUUAAUAUUUCGGGUGGCUGGAAACGAACUCGAAUUGAAGGAGGAACGAUUGUAUUGAUGAAACUAAUUAUUGCAUUGAAGAGGACGAUUGAGGGCGAUGCAGGGAGAGCAGGGUAGAAUG
rnacentral:lncRNA from 1 species